rnacentral:rRNA from 1 species
GUCGAGCGGUAGAGAGAAGCUUGCUUCUCUUGAGAGCGGCGGACGGGUGAGUAAUGCCUAGGAAUCUGCCUGGUAGUGGGGGAUAACGUUCGGAAACGGACGCUAAUACCGCAUACGUCCUACGGGAGAAAGCAGGGGACCUUCGGGCCUUGCGCUAUCAGAUGAGCCUAGGUCGGAUUAGCUAGUUGGUGAGGUAAUGGCUCACCAAGGCGACGAUCCGUAACUGGUCUGAGAGGAUGAUCAGUCACACUGGAACUGAGACACGGUCCAGACUCCUACGGGAGGCAGCAGUGGGGAAUAUUGGACAAUGGGCGAAAGCCUGAUCCAGCCAUGCCGCGUGUGUGAAGAAGGUCUUCGGAUUGUAAAGCACUUUAAGUUGGGAGGAAGGGCAGUUACCUAAUACGUGAUUGUUUUGACGUUACCGACAGAAUAAGCACCGGCUAACUCUGUGCCAGCAGCCGCGGUAAUACAGAGGGUGCAAGCGUUAAUCGGAAUUACUGGGCGUAAAGCGCGCGUAGGUGGUUUGUUAAGUUGGAUGUGAAAUCCCCGGGCUCAACCUGGGAACUGCAUUCAAAACUGACUGACUAGAGUAUGGUAGAGGGUGGUGGAAUUUCCUGUGUAGCGGUGAAAUGCGUAGAUAUAGGAAGGAACACCAGUGGCGAAGGCGACCACCUGGACUAAUACUGACACUGAGGUGCGAAAGCGUGGGGAGCAAACAGGAUUAGAUACCCUGGUAGUCCACGCCGUAAACGAUGUCAACUAGCCGUUGGAAGCCUUGAGCUUUUAGUGGCGCAGCUAACGCAUUAAGUUGACCGCCUGGGGAGUACGGCCGCAAGGUUAAAACUCAAAUGAUUUGACGGGGGCCCGCACAAGCGGUGGAGCAUGUGGGUUUAAUUCG